rnacentral:rRNA from 1 species
UGGGGAAUAUUGGACAAUGGGCGCAAGCCUGAUCCAGCCAUGCCGCGUGUGUGAAGAAGGCCUUUUGGUUGUAAAGCACUUUAAGCGAGGAGGAGGCUACUUGGAUUAAUACUCUAGGAUAGUGGACGUUACUCGCAGAAUAAGCACCGGCUAACUCUGUGCCAGCAGCCGCGGUAAUACAGAGGGUGCGAGCGUUAAUCGGAUUUACUGGGCGUAAAGCGUGCGUAGGCGGCUUUUUAAGUCGGAUGUGAAAUCCCUGAGCUUAACUUAGGAAUUGCAUUCGAUACUGGGAAGCUAGAGUAUGGGAGAGGAUAGUAGAAUUCCAGGUGUAGCGGUGAAAUGCGUAGAGAUCUGGAGGAAUACCGAUGGCGAAGGCAGCCAUCUGGCCUAAUACUGACGCUGAGGUACGAAAGCAUGGGGAGCAAACAGG